rnacentral:rRNA from 1 species
GUGCCAGCCGCCGCGGUAAUACGGAGGGUGCAAACGUUGCUCGGAAUCAUUGGGCGUAAAGCGCACGUAGGCGGCGCGUUAAGUCGGGUGUGAAAGCCCUGGGCUCAACCCAGGAAGUGCAUUCGAAACUGGCGCGCUUGAAUAUGGAAGAGGGUCGCGGAAUUCCCGGUGUAGAGGUGAAAUUCGUAGAUAUCGGGAGGAACACCAGUGGCGAAGGCGGCGACCUGGGCCAAUAUUGACGCUGAGGUGCGAAAGCGUGGGGAGCAAACAGGAUUAGAUACCCCUGUAGUCC